GUCGUCUCCUCUCUCUCUCUCCGGCACGGCUGCACGGCCUCUCUCACGCUCUCCGGCGUGGACGCACGAUCUCUUUGGCUCUUUCCUUGACUAACUCACUCCCUCAUGAAUUUCUGGGUUGAAGAUAUUGGAAUUUGUCUCGAGCUCGUGGUCAACUAGUCUUGCUCCUGAACUCUUGGUUCGAUUCAAAAAUCUUCAAGCUUGGAUAAUGGCAGGUACUACUUCUUCCUCAGCAUCUAAUGCAAUGUCGAAGGUGGAUAGGUAUUGGAUGGGAGUAUGCAGAGUUCGCGGAUGCUUCAAACUCAUUAUCUCAUUGUUGUUGAACCAUAUUUGAAGUAUUAUCACUAUUCAAAC
rnacentral:lncRNA from 1 species